CAUAUACACACAUAAAUGAGUACUGAGAUAUGAGAAAAAGGGAAUCGGCAAUGGUGGUGGCGGUGGCGGUGGCGGGAUCUGCUUAUAUCUGUUGUGGCGGAGGGAGGAGGAGGCGGUGAGAGGCGACGAAGGAGGAGGUGGUGAGAGGUGAUCCAACUACGGAGGAGGAGACGACGAAGCCAUCGCCGACUGCGGAGAAGGAGACAACGACGCCGUUGCCAACUACGCUAUCGGAGGAGGAGGAGAAGGAGAGAAAAGAGAGAGUGAGAGAGACAGAUCAGAGGGGAGAGUGAGAAAGACAUAUCAGAGGAGAGAGUGAGAGGAGAGAGAGAGAGAAAGAGUGAGAGAUAGAUCUGAGGGAAAUUAAUAAAGGGUAUUAUGGUAAUUUUAUUUUGGGGAGAAACGGGGCCGAGGAUGGGGCCGGGACUUUGAAAGUUAUCCCCGUCUUUGGCUCAAAAUUGAUUGGAGAUUCAAUUUUAAAUACCAUCUCCGGCCCAUCAAAAAUAUUUUUCGAGAAAAAAUCACUCUUAUCAAGAAUAGGGGUCGGGUCUCCGUCGGGUCAGGUUUAAAUUACCAUCUGCACUAACGACGUGCUGCCUAUGUGGAAAAUGAUGCAAAGUCGUCCAUUUCUCUCUCUUUUUUAUUCAUUUCAAAUUUCAAAUUCAUGUUCACAAUUGAAGUCUCGCUUUCUAUUCUUCCUUCUCUUCUCUGUUGUGACUCUCCUUGGCGACCUCCCCGACGAGCGCAGCUCUCCAACACCGGCGACCCGACGAGCACAGCUCUCCAACCCUGGCGACAAUCGAGGUUGAACGCAGCUUCUACAACCCCAGCGACCGGACGAGCGGAGCUACUGACGACAACGAGAGUCACUCACGACGACCAACGACGAUCGAGUCUGUCUCCGUCUUCCCACCGGACUCGCUUCUCUCGAUCUCCAUAUUAUGCUGAGGUGAUUCAAGCAUCAUAAUGAAGUUGAAGGUAGUCUUGAGGAAAGCCUUUGAUUAUGUUCGUUAUGAUCUGAAAGAAAUUGCCUUCCCUUCAUCUUUGCCUGAUCCA